GUUCCAGCCUGUCAGGAGGGCAUAGGAACUGAGGAACAUGACAUUUAAAUGGUGUUAUCUGGCUUCAGCAGACAUCCACGGAUGUUCAAAGCGAGGAAACACAACAAAGCUUCUCAACACAUGUACGUCAGAAAGCAGGGAAAAAAACACUUACGCGUACAGUCGCAGGAAGUACUGAAGCGGUUCUAUGUCCGGUAAAGAAGGUGCGAGCUUACCUGCGUCCCUCGCUGUUGUGGUGGUGGCGCCCGGGCUAGUCACUUCCGGGACCUUCUGGCGAGGCGCGCACGUGCUCCACAUGCACGCGCAGCUUGUGACAGUUUGUUUGGGCCUUUGAUGCCUUUAAAGAAGUACAGAUGUUAUAUAAAUGUAACUGAAAUAUACGUUUAACAAUUUAUAUACACUCCCGAACCGUACUUCCAGUGGGAUUCUGAACGCUUCAUUCAUGAAUUGGUAUCUUUUAAAAAUGUCCAGUGAACCAAGUGCAGAACCAAUUCAUCAGAUACUAAUGGAGGUAUAUGGAAGACCAUAUGUCUCUUAUGGAAUUCUCCAAAUUCAUUAAAUAGAUGUUGGUUAUUCACCACAACUAAACUAUUCACUCACUUUUAUGUGUAGUAAAAUUACAGAAUGUGAACCAGUUUAAGUAACAGUAAGUGUUUUUGCUUUACAUCAGGGGUCUCAAACUCAAUUUACUUGGGGGCCACUGGAGCUAGGGUCUGGGUGAGACUGGGUCGCAUCAGGUUUUCCAAAAAAAACCCCAAAAAACGCAUUUAUUAAAAACAGAAAAAUGAAUAAACUUUGCUUUGGUUCCGAUUUUCUACAAGAAAAGCUCUGAUAAAACAUUCCACUGUUCUCAAAUAUCUUAAUUUUUAUUUUUCUACACAAAAUAAGAUGAAAAAUAAAUAAACAAAUCAAGAAUAAAGAAAAUCA